rnacentral:rRNA from 1 species
GACGAACGCUGGCGGCGUGCCUAAUACAUGCAAGUUGAGCGCUGAAGGUUGGUACUUGUACCGACUGGAUGAGCAGCGAACGGGUGAGUAACGCGUGGGGAAUCUGCCUUUGAGCGGGGGACAACAUUUGGAAACGAAUGCUAAUACCGCAUAAAAACUUUAAACACAAGUUUUAAGUUUGAAAGAUGCAAUUGCAUCACUCAAAGAUGAUCCCGCGUUGUAUUAGCUAGUUGGUGAGGUAAAGGCUCACCAAGGCGAUGAUACAUAGCCGACCUGGGAGGGUGAUCGGCAACAUUGGGACUGAGACACGGCCCAAACUCCUACGGGAGGCAGCAGUAGGGAAUCUUCGGCAAUGGACGAAAGUCUGACCGAGCAACGCCGCGUGAGUGAAGAAGGUUUUCGGAUCGUAAAACUCUGUUGGUAGAGAAGAACGUUGGUGAGAGUGGAAAGCUCAUCAAGUGACGGUAACUACCCAGAAAGGGACGGCUAACUACGUGCCAGCAGCCGCAGUAA